rnacentral:rRNA from 1 species
UACGUAGGGUCCGAGCGUUGUCCGGAAUUACUGGGCGUAAAGAGCUCGUAGGUGGUUUGUCGCGUUGUUCGUGAAAACUCACAGCUCAACUGUGGGCGUGCGGGCGAUACGGGCAGACUGGAGUACUGCAGGGGAGACUGGAAUUCCCGGUGUAGCGGUGGAAUGCGUAGAGAUCGGGAAGAACAUCAGUGGCGAAGGCGACACGCUGGGCCGUACCUGACGCUAAAACGCGACAGCAUGGGGAGCGAACGGG